AAAAACAGGCGUUUGACGGUUUAUUAAUAAGUUAGUGAAAAUUAAUACAUACAUGAAUCAAUUCUAAUAUAUUUUUUUUAUAUAUUAUUAUAUAAAACUGACAAUUCAGACAUCUAAAAAGUUAAUGCGCAAUAAGAAUUUAGUUUUUUUUUUCUACAAACGCAAUACGCGUCACUUCAUCAAACGUCCGUGAGACACAAAACGCUUUUUAUUUAGUUCCGACCGGAAGUGCAUUACAUUUAAAUGUCUAUUCCCUGUGUUUUGCAGUGUGAAUCAUUUUUUUGGAUCAAUCUUUGGAGUUGACUCAUUGAGGUUUUUAAAUGGCUGGAAUCAGUGAAUCGACUCUAUAUAUAUAUAUCUGAUGCAGUGCUGAGAGCACGCCACCUGCUGGAGAAACAUGAAUCGGACGUGCUUGAGAUCAGACGGUACAUCAUUAAACAUCACUAUUCACUCAGUAAUCUUUUUUAUGUUACUCUGUGUAGUGUGAGAUUUAAUAGGAAGCUAUUCAAAAUAAUAUCUGUUGGAUAAAAUGUUAAUAAAUUGUUUAAUAUAUAUUUUUUAAUAUCCUAGAAACAACCUCUAUCACUAGAGAUAUGCCAGGAUUUAUGAAUAUGCACGAGCACAUUUACAUUUAUUCAUUUAGCAGAUGCUUUUAUCCAAAGCGACUUACAAAUGAGAAAAUAUGUAUGCAAAUGAGUAUGCAAAUCAGACACGCCCCCGUGGCCACCUGCCAUUCCUAAAAUAUCGUUAUCAAUAUUAACUUUAGCUCCCUUAUAACUGUGUCUUAUAAUGGAAAGAGUUAAUAUUAUUUUUAUAUUAUUAUAGAGUUAAUUAUUUUAUUAGUCUUUUUUUAAACAGUGUUCAGGGGUCCAAGUGGAAUCCUUUUAGGAACCCUUUUUGUGAACGUAUUUUAUAAAAGAAUCGUUAAAAUGUACGCAGUUUCCCAAGCGUAACCGAUCAGCUGAGAGACGUUCUGCUUUAGUUUUGCACCAAAGCUAUGACGCUAAGGCGUUUUUGUUUUUGGAAAGAAAAAAAAAAAUGGUUCUUUAAAGGUUCCUCAAGCGGUUAAGUGGUUAACUAAAGGUUCUUAGUGUUCUAAAGAGGUUCU
ensembl:lncRNA